AGCCUUUCUGCUGCACUGCAUUUAGAACCGGGAUAAGAAUGCGGUAUACAGUUAAUUAAACGCGCAUAUAUGGGAUAAACGGUUUAGUACACACGGUGCUCGACCCCUACAUAAUGCAGACCAUAAAGCGUUUUGAAAAAAAAUUAAAUAUAAGGCAAUCUUCUAGCUGGAAAGAACGGCUCAAAAAUCCCCACCUCGCUGUCGCCAUUUUGGAACAAACAAUUUUUCAGAUGGUGCUGCGCUCUGUGAACGCGGCCCAAAAUUACGUAUUUUCGUCGCAAAGUUUGAGCGCGACACGUUCAUUGUAUUCAAAUUGACCGUAGAAUAUAAUAACGCACAUGUACGCGAAUUAUUUCAAAUGAAAUCAAGAAUGACUCGAAGUUUGCUGAAGCGUAGCCAAGGUCUCAUGGGUCUCAGGAAUAUUGAUUAACUUGCGAUUAUUUACCACGCGAAACUUUGUUUUACUUCGGUUGUUAUCAAAUUCAAUGGCAACUAGAUCUUUCGAUACUGUCAGGCUAUACGUCAAAAAGGAAACGAAAGGGUGUAAAAUGAUUCUCGUAAAGAAUAAUUUUGUCGAGAAAUUUAUGCCAAAAGCCUAACUGCAUCAUGCCGAAAAUACUUCACAGCAAUGAUAAGAAUAUCGAUGAUCACAAGUAUGUAAAUCACACGUGAUAUGAUGACACUAAAUUAUUCAGGAUUAUUUUGGCAACGAAUUCGUGAAUAAUGAAUAUAAAUUAGCAAUGGAAAUUUCUCUCUUAGUUUUAGAAAUACUUUUCUUACUAAAUUAAUUUUUGAAAGUAUAACUGCAUAUCGUUGGAUCGAUUGAUUUCUACGCUAGCAUUUACGAGUAACCGUUUAUUCGAAACAACUCAUUUACAGAACAAUCCAUUCGAUUUAGAAUGAAAA
rnacentral:lncRNA from 1 species